rnacentral:rRNA from 1 species
CGGAGUGAGUGGCGAACGGGUGAGUAACACGUGGGUAACCUGCCCAGAAGUAGGGGAUAACACCUGGAAACAGAUGCUAAUACCGUAUAACAGAGAAAACCGCAUGGUUUUCUUUUAAAAGAUGGCUCUGCUAUCACUUCUGGAUGGACCCGCGGCGUAUUAGCUAGUUGGUGAGGUAAAGGCUCACCAAGGCAGUGAUACGUAGCCGACCUGAGAGGGUAAUCGGCCACAUUGGGACUGAGACACGGCCCAGACUCCUACGGGAGGCAGCAGUAGGGAAUCUUCCACAAUGGACGCAAGUCUGAUGGAGCAACGCCGCGUGAGUGAAGAAGGGUUUCGGCUCGUAAAGCUCUGUUGUUAAAGAAGAACGUGGGUAAGAGUAACUGUUUACCCAGUGACGGUAUUUAACCAGAAAGCCACGGCUAACUACGUGCCAGCAGCCGCGGUAAUACGUAGGUGGCAAGCGUUAUCCGGAUUUAUUGGGCGUAAAGCGAGCGCAGGCGGUCUUUUAAGUCUAAUGUGAAAGCCUUCGGCUCAACCGAAGAAGUGCAUUGGAAACUGGGAGACUUGAGUGCAGAAGAGGACAGUGGAACUCCAUGUGUAGCGGUGAAAUGCGUAGAUAUAUGGAAGAACACCAGUGGCGAAGGCGGCUGUCUGGUCUGCAACUGACGCUGAGGCUCGAAAGCAUGGGUAGCGAACAGGAUUAGAUACCCUGGUAGUCCAUGCCGUAAACGAUGAUUACUAAGUGUUGGAGGGUUUCCGCCCUUCAGUGCUGCAGCUAACGCAUUAAGUAAUCCGCCUGGGGAGUACGACCGCAAGGUUGAAACUCAAAAGAAUUGACGGGGGCCCGCACAAGCGGUGGAGCAUGUGGUUUAAUUCGAAGCUACGCGAAGAACCUUACCAGGUCUUGACAUCUUCUGACAGUCUAAGAGAUUAGAGGUUCCCUUCGGGGACAGAAUGACAGGUGGUGCAUGGUGUCGUCAGCUC